rnacentral:rRNA from 1 species
UACGUAGGGGGCUAGCGUUGUCCGGAAUCAUUGGGCGUAAAGCGCGUGUAGGCGGCCCGGUAAGUCCGCUGUAAAAGUCGGGGGCUCAACCCUCGAAAGCCGGUGGAUACUGUCGGGCUAGAGUACGGAAGAGGCGAGUGGAAUUCCAGGUGUAGCGGUGAAAUGCGUAGAUAUCUGGAGGAAUACCGGUGGCGAAGGCGGCAUCCUGGACCAUUACUGACGCUGAGGCGCGAAAGCUAGGGGAGCAAACGGG